UCUGAUUACAAGUGGGAGUUAAUUGGUAUCUUUCUUGAAAAACUACUUACUAAAUUGGAUUUAAUUGUAGGGGCAUUUCUAUUUAAUUAUCCUCAAUUUUUAAUUGGGAUUUUCUCCAAUUUGCCUCACUAGAAGUUGAUGGUUUCGAGUACAGGUCUGUGAUCCGUCAAAUUCAAAUUUUGAUAUAUACCAUUGGUGAUUAAUACGAUAUUUUGACCCAAGUUAAUUUAUUUUGAAUUUCUGUUGACCUAAAAAGAACAAAUUGAGGAAGCAUGUAUUGGGUAACAAAUUUUCUCAUUUUCUACUCAACAAACUUCCUUCCUUUAUGCUUUGUCUCAACCUAAUUCCUAAUCUAUAUGAAGUUACACUACUGCAAAGAAAUCUCCCUAUGUUCUUUUAACUGUUCAGUUUCUGCACUUCAAUAUUACCCUGUUGAAUUUCCAUUGUUUAAACCUGGCAAAAAAAGCAUUUAGAGCUUGCUAAGGAUGCAGAUGACCUCAUUGAGCAACAAAGAGCCAGCACUCAGCUUGGUCAAACUUACCAUGAUAUGUUUUUAUCUGAUGGUGACCACAACUUAGUUAGGAAUGCAAAAAAGUAUUGGAGAUGUUUUGGAUUCUGCUGGUGAUUGGAGAGGUGCUCUCAAUGCAUUUAAAGAAGGGUACAGGCAAAUAGCUUCUCUAGUAACUUAUAAAUAUGCCUAUGUUAUUUAUGUAGACAGCCACGUUAAAGCAAGUAUAAUUGUAAGAUUUUCCGGUUGGGACUGUAUAUAUGACAUCAAGGUCAAGUGAUAAAUUAACCGUGAGGGAGGGAGCUUAAAACCUUCUAUUAAGAGGUUUCAUUUUGGUUCUAUGCAAUCUUAUGCUCACAAACAUAUUUGACUUGUAUAGAAAAAGAAUAUAAGAGGGGAGGCAAGUGUCUUCGACCUGGAAAAGCAACGCCUCUAGCUUGUGUCUGCAUUGCUCCAUGAUUUAUAUCAAAACUAGGCUACAAUCCUUUUCUUGAAUAAUUUUCUGAUUUGUGUCGAAAUAAAAAUGAAAAUCGUUAAAGGUGAAUUUUGCUGUUUUUUCUUCUUUGUUAAUAUAUUCUAUAUAUUGCUAAAGAGAGAAUACAUUGGAAAAGAACUUGUGUGUAACGAUUUACACGUUUUCUUCAAUCGAGAGUGACAUUGACUGUUUUGAUGGGCUCAGAACAUUUUAAAUUAAACACUAAUUGAUAUAUAUAUGCAAAAAUGUUUUUCUGAGAUGGACCUGUUAGCAUAGGCUAUGAAUUGCUAAACAUGCUUGAACUUUAGUAGCUUGCUCUUGUUCUCUUAUAAAACUGGAAAGACAUGUUAUGCUUCUGUGAUUAUUGAAUUUUUUAAAUUUCUUGCGUGUUACUUGGCAUUCCUAAGUUUGCAAUUGGAAUCUAGAAUUGGAGAAACGUGUUUGACUUCUAUUGUGUAAUUUUUUAAAUUUCUUGUGUGUUAUCUGCAUCUAUCUAUGCCUUGAUUGAAGUAGAAACUUUUGCAUUUUAAGUAAUGAGCAAGUAUAAAAAGGUAAUGUGAAUAUCAUGUAAUAGGUGCAGCAAAAGUGAAAACGUUCAAAGAACUGAAGAAAAUGAGAGGACAUUGGAAGAUGAAAUAAAUGAGUUUAAGUUGGGUUUUUUUUUUUUUUAAAGUUAAUUCUCUUACUAUAUGAAGUCCAUUUACGUGUUCGAUUUUUAUUAUUGGAUUUAUAGGGAUAGGUGCAGGAUACUUGUCAAGGACUCUAGAUCUUCCUACUCAAGGGACGUGUAAACAAAUUAGGACCUCUCGGAUCGUGCGUAUUACUCGAGAGAACAUUAGAGUUUUAUAUAAUUAAUUGAGCAGAUGAGCUACAAGUUUUGGAGUACAUAGUUGUUAGUUCAUGAUAUAAGAGCCACAUUAGAUGUAUUCAUACUUAGUGAAUGAUUUUUAUUUAUGUUUUGAUAAUAUGUUUCGGAUUCAAUGUUACAGUGACUGACA
rnacentral:lncRNA from 1 species